rnacentral:lncRNA from 1 species
UUUUUUUAACCAAAACAGUUCAUAGAGGACUUCUAUCGAACAUUUCAUAUGUGCUGUUUUGAAACACCAUUUCCAUAGCCAUUUGUUUGUGUUACUAACCCAUUCAAGCCUUCUUAUAUCACCAGACAACCAAGCCAUGAAGUAGUUGUAGAAAGUUAUCAUCUCGAAUACCACAUCAGACUAACAACUCCAUCAUAAAUAUUUUCUACAUUCACGUGGAAACUAUUUGGGCUAUUAAUUACUCAGUCUUUGAAAUUAGUUCACCAGUACUUGCAUCCUUCACUUAAGCUUGUGUUAUGAUUUUAAUAUAUCCAAAAUGAGAAAUUGCCCAUUCAGGUUUUAAGUUUCAAUAAUAUCAAUUAAUUUCAUAUUCUAGUAAAAUAUCCUCAUUUAGACAUUUUAACAAACACCAAACAUGCAAGCUUUAAAAAACUCAGUUUUAUAUAAAUUCUAACAUAUAAAUACAGAAUUUCGUUAUGUAAUCCUUCUUUAUACUCUAGAAUCUUUCUGAUGCCACCAAUAAUACAACCUCCCACAAUCAAUCAUAACAAUUAAUAACUAUUAUUUACUCAAAUUUUAUGAAUUUUGCCAAGAAAACAUAACUUGCCUUUUUUUUUGCUUGCUAUUAUAGUUGAAAUCUUGCUCUGAGCUUGAUUAUGUAGGAAUUGAAUCCCUCCUUUGCCAAUACUUCAAAAUCUUCUUUACUUCCCGCUUGGAGUAUCAAUUAUUUCACUUACUCUAACUUUUGGUAAAGGCUUCUUGUAUAAGAUUUGAAGAAGAGUUCGAGCUUGGUUUUCUUGGGAGCAAAAGGGCUGCACAUUUUUGAACUUAGGAGGUGAAAUGAGUUGCACUGUAUAAGGAUAAAAAAAACCCACUAACUUCUUCCAGCAGCUCCCUCAUUUCCCACUCAAAUAGAUUUGCUAGGUGGUUUCCUCCUAGUUAGUACACCACCUACUUUACUUAUACACCUCAUACUAAAAAUGAAUAAGCAAUUAUGCAUACUUAAU